GACUGGGGUUGGUUCAGUGGUUAGAGCUUAGGUUUCAUGACCUGAAGGUCCCGGGAUCGAAUCUCGCCAGAGGCA
rnacentral:tRNA from 1 species